AGACCCGAAACCCGGUGAUCUAGCCAUGGGCAGGUUGAAGGUUGGGUAACACUAACUGGAGGACCGAACCGACUAAUGUUGAAAAAUUAGCGGAUGACCUGUGGCUGGGGGUGAAAGGCCAAUCAAACCGGGAGAUAGCUGGUUCUCCCCGAAAGCUAUUUAGGUAGCGCCUCGUGAAUUCAUCUCCGGGGGUAGAGCACUGUUUCGGCUAGGGGGCCAUCCCGGCUUACCAACCCGAUGCAAACUGCGAAUACCGGAGAAUGUUAUCACGGGAGACACACGGCGGGUGCUAACGUCCGUCGUGAAGAGGGAAACAACCCAGACCGCCAGCUAAGGUCCCAAAGUCAUGGUUAAGUGGGAAACGAUGUGGGAAGGCCCAGACAGCCAGGAUGUUGGCUUAGAAGCAGCCAUCAUUUAAAGAAAGCGUAAUAGCUCACUGGUCGAGUCGGCCUGCGCGGAAGAUGUAACGGGGCUAAACCAUGCACCGAAGCUGCGGCAGCGAACGUAUCACCCAAGACAACUUUACGGAGUUGACGAUUGACGGAGCGAAGCGACGUCAAAGCGUUCAUUAAAGUCGAGUUGGCUUAGGGAUACGUUCGUUGGGUAGGGGAGCGUUCUGUAAGCCUGUGAAGGUGUGUCGUGAGGCAUGCUGGAGGUAUCAGAAGUGCGAAUGCUGACAUAAGUAACGAUAAAGCGGGUGAAAAGCCCGCUCGCCGGAAGACCAAGGGUUCCUGUCCAACGUUAAUCGGGGCAGGGUGAGUCGACCCCUAAGGCGAGGCCGAAAGGCGUAGUCGAUGGGAA
rnacentral:rRNA from 1 species